CCUUGUCACACAUCCGUCACAGU
rnacentral:miRNA from 10 species